rnacentral:tRNA from 1 species
GAGGGUGUAGCUCAGUGGUAGAGUGAGUGCUUAGCAUGCACGAGGUCCUGGGUUCAACCCCCAGUGUCUUCA